ensembl:antisense Gm13703 predicted gene 13703
CAGGAGUCUGGCAAAUGUGAGCCUAACAGUUCUCUGCUUUUUCCAAGCACACAGGGCCGGAGCGCUGGCAGGUUCUCAGGCAGGCUGUUCUCCAUAAGUCACCUUAUCAGAAGCACGCCCACAAGGAGAGCAGGGAUCCUGUAAGCAGGGCCAUAGGAAAGAAAGAGUGAGCCAACAGAAGCUGCCUAUGGACACCAGGAAGCAGACACCGGGAUGCGGACACCGGGAAGCGGACAGCGGGAAGCGGACACCGGGAAGCGGACACCGGGAAGCCACCACUUACCCCCAGCCAGAGAUGAUGAUGAUUCCCACCGGGAGCUGAACGCUCUCGCGCUUCUUUAAAAGAAACAAAGAAACUGCUAGAAGGCCUAGAAACAAGAAACCAAGAUUAUAAACGAUGAUUACUCUUAAUCGUGAUAUGGAAGCUGCAGCACUUUACUCUGUGAGAG